ACGAACGCUGGCGGCGUGCUUAACACCUGCAAGUCGAACGCUGAAGCUCAGCUUUUGUUGGGUGGAUGAGUGGCGAACGGGUGAGUAACACGUGAGUAACCUGCCCCCUUCUUUGGGAUAACGCCCGGAAACGGGUGCUAAUACUGGAUAUUCACUGGUCUUCGCAUGGGGGUUGGUGGAAAGGGUUUUUCUGGUGGGGGAUGGGCUCGCGGCCUAUCAGCUUGUUGGUGGGGUGAUGGCCUACCAAGGCUUUGACGGGUAGCCGGCCUGAGAGGGUGACCGGUCACAUUGGGACUGAGAUACGGCCCAGACUCCUACGGGAGGCAGCAGUGGGGAAUAUUGCACAAUGGGCGCAAGCCUGAUGCAGCGACGCCGCGUGAGGGAUGGAGGCCUUCGGGUUGUGAACCUCUUUCGCUCAUGGUCAAGCCGCAACAAUGGUUGUGGUGAGGGUAGUGGGUAAAGAAGCGCCGGCUAACUACGUG
rnacentral:rRNA from 1 species